rnacentral:rRNA from 1 species
GGACGAACGCUGGCGGCGUGCCUAAUACAUGCAAGUCGAACGCUUCUUUCCUCCCGAGUGCUUGCACUCAAUUGGAAGGAGGAGUGGCGGACGGGUGAGUAACACGUGGGUAACCUACCCAUCAGAGGGGGAUAACACUUGGAAACAGGUGCUAAUACCGCAUAACAGUUUAUGCCGCAUGGCAUAAGAGUGAAAGGCGCUUUCGGGUGUCGCUGAUGGAUGGACCCGCGGUGCAUUAGCUAGUUGGUGAGGUAACGGCUCACCAAGGCAACGAUGCAUAGCCGACCUGGGGGGGUGAUCGGCCACACUGGGACGGAGACACGGCCCAGACUCCUACGGGAGGCAGCAGUAGGGAAUCUUCGGCAAUGGACGAAAGUCUGACCGAGCAACGCCGCGUGAGUGAAGAAGGUUUUCGGAUCGUAAAACUCUGUUGUUAGAGAAGAACAAGGACGUUAGUAACUGAACGUCCCCUGACGGUAUCUAACCAGAAAGCCACGGCUAACUACGUG